UACGAAGGGGACUAGCGUUGUUCGGAUUUACUGGGCGUAAAGGGCGCGUAGGCGGAUCGAUAGGUCAGGGGUGAAAUCCCAGGGCUCAACCCUGGAACUGCCUUUGAUACUGACGGUCUGGAGAUCGGGAGAGGUUGGUGGAAUUCCGAGUGUAGAGGUGAAAUUCGUAGAUAUUCGGAGGAACACCAGAAGCGAAGGCGGCCAACUGGCCCGAUACUGACGCUGAGGCGCGAAAGCGUGGGGAGCAAACAGG
rnacentral:rRNA from 1 species